rnacentral:rRNA from 1 species
CAGCAGCCACGGUAAUACGUAGGGUGCAAGCGUUAAUCGGAAUUACUGGGCGUAAAGCGUGCGCAGGCGGUGUUGUAAGACUGAUGUGAAAUCCCCGGGCUCAACCUGGGAACUGCAUUGGUGACUGCAACGCUGGAGUGCGGCAGAGGGGGAUGGAAUUCCGCGUGUAGCAGUGAAAUGCGUAGAUAUGCGGAGGAACACCGAUGGCGAAGGCAAUCCCCUGGGCCUGCACUGACGCUCAUGCACGAAAGCGUGGGGAGCAAACAGGAUUAGAUACCCCCGUAGUCCCUGUCUCUUAUAA